GAUGAACGCUGGCGGCGUGCCUAACACAUGCAAGUCGAGCGAUUCUCUUCGGAGAAGAGCGGCGGACGGGUGAGUAACGCGUGGGUAACCUGCCCUGUACACACGGAUAACAUACCGAAAGGUAUGCUAAUACGAGAUAAUAUACUUUUAUCGCAUGGUAGAAGUAUCAAAGCUUUUGCGGUACAGGAUGGACCCGCGUCUGAUUAGCUAGUUGGUAAGGUAACGGCUUACCAAGGCGACGAUCAGUAGCCGACCUGAGAGGGUGAUCGGCCACAUUGGAACUGAGACACGGUCCAAACUCCUACGGGAGGCAGCAGUGGGGAAUAUUGCACAAUGGGCGAAAGCCUGAUGCAGCAACGCCGCGUGAGCGAUGAAGGCCUUGGUCGUAAAGCUCUGUCCUCAAGGAAGAUAAUGACGGUACUUGAGGAGGAAGACCCCGGCUAACUACGUGCCAGCAGCCGCGGUAAU
rnacentral:rRNA from 1 species